AUGGCAGCCGGAGGGGUGUCGCAUCUGUGGAGGGAAUGGGGGAUUCAAAGCCUUGUCCUUUUGAGCUUCGCGCUGCAAGUGCUCCUCCUCGUCUUCGGAGGGAUGCGUCGGUGUGGCCUCUCCACCUCGCUGAGGGUAGCCCUCUGGUUAGCAUACCUGUCGGCGGACUCCACGGCGAUAUACACCCUGGGCCAUCUAUCCAUCACCAGCGGCGGGUCACGUGAGCACCAGCUGGCCGCGUUCUGGGCGCCCUUCCUCCUGCUGCAUCUCGGCGGGCCGUACAACGUCACCGCCUACGCGCUCGAGGACAACCGUCUCUGGCUGCGCCACCUGCAGACCCUUGUUGUGCAGGUCCUUGGAGCUGCUUAUGUCCUCUACAAGUACAUGGCCGACAGCGGGACCUUGCUUCAGCUGGCCUCAAUCUCCAUGUUUGUUGCCGGCAUUGUCAAGUACGGUGAGAGGACAUGGGCACUCAAGCGUGCCAACGACAACAAGAGCAGCUCUGGUAAGGCGGUUGGCCCUUAUGAAUUACUGAGACAGGAUAUGGGUGACGAUGAAAUAUUGCUCCGAGCGCACUCCCAGUUCGCCAUCUGCAAGUCCGGCUUCGACGAUACCAAGGUGGUAAUGCGCCCCAAGCCCCCAGACGAGGAUUCACCUCGUCUCUUUCCUUUCUAUGACGAGGAUAUAUUCAAGUUGGUGGAGAUGGAGCUGUCUCUGAUGUACGACACACUGUACACCAAGGCAGCAGUGAUCCACACAUGGUAUGGCUUCUGCAUCCAUUCCAUCUCGCUGGUUGGCACAUCAGCUGCCUUGUGCUUGUUUCGGCUCAGGCUCAGCAGAGGGGAUCAUGCGUACAAGAGGGUAGAUGUAGCCAUCUCUUACAUUUUGCUGGCUGGGGCUUUGGUCCUGGAGGUCAUAUCAGCAUGUAGGGCAGUAUUGUCUAGCUGGACAUGUUGUUUCGUUCUUCGAAAGGCGGAGGAUUACAGCGGGAGCACUCGGGCUGCUUGGCUAGAGUGGCUUCACUAUUAUGUCCUCUCUUCACUUCGCAAGCCUUUGAAGCCGGCAAACAGGAGACUGUGGCGGGGCACCAUUGGGCAGUAUAACAUGCUCCAUCUGUGCACCCGGGACCGGACGGGCCUCGGGAGCAAGCUGGCAGCGAAGAUAGGGCAGGAGGACUGGUGGAACAAGCUGCAUUUCUCGGGCACUUUCUGUGGCAGCGAUUCGUUGUCGAUGCAGCAACUCAAGGGAUUGCUCUUCAAAAUGAUACGACAGGAUGGGUUUGCGAAGCUCGUGGGCCCUUUGAGCACAAUGACCACAAGAGGCAGCUUUAUCCUGGAGCAGAAGCAAGCGUUCAAGGGUGUUGCCAAAUGGACUGUGCUCAACAUUGAGUUGGACGAGAGCAUCGUUAUAUGGCACAUCGCAACUGAUUUGUUCAUCUGGGAAUCCAAGGCUGGCCAUGAAGUAGAGCUUAUUGAGGUUACAAGGGUGCUAUCCAAUUACAUGAUGUUCCUGCUGGUGGCAAAACCCGCCAUGCUACCUGGCCGUGAACGCCGCACGGUACAUCUUACGCCCUCCAGGAUCCUGGAAACAAUAUGGCGGGUACAUAUCUUAGGUGACGAGGACAAAUCUGUGAGGGCAUCUCCCGGAAGCUGGAACAAGUGCUGUGUACUUAAGGAAUUGUUCCACCAUGAAGGCCCGAAUGGCUCCACGAUCACUCAGGCUCAGAGGGAGAAGCUUGCCGAGACACUGUUUGCCAACUGGUCUUAUGAGGGGGCGCAGCAACUUGAUUCGUAUCCAGAGGUUCUUGAAGGGUCACGUGACGAGUUGUACACGUGUGCAAGCAAUCUCGCCAAACAGCUCCUCCACUUGGGUAGGCCUGACACGUUGGAACUCAUCUUCUCCGUGUGGGUGGAGAUGAUGCUUUAUGCUGCGGAUCACUGCCCCCGAGAUUCCCAUGCCAGGGAGCUCAGUAAUGGCGGCGAGUUUAUCACCAUCCUGUGGCUUCUGGUACAGCACUGGACGUACGUCUACAAAAACAAAAUAGCAUGUUAG
rnacentral:rRNA from 1 species